GUUAAUCAUCAAAUUUUUGAACGCAAAUUGCACUCUUCUCGGAGAGUAUGCCUGUUUGAGGGUCAGUCUAUAAAAAUCGACAUCGUCCCUGUUUCGCGGUGGCGUUCUUCGUUAACUGGGUCAUUUUAAAUCCUUUCGAUUUAAGCGACUUAAAAUUUUCUGUUGGUUCCAUGUACGAGUCUAA
rnacentral:misc_RNA from 1 species